GGCCGGUUAGCUCAGUUGGUUAGAGCGUGGUGCUUAUAUAUCGCCAAGAUCGCAGGUUCUAAUCCUGUACAGGCCA